AUUGAACGCUGGCGGCAGGCCUAACACAUGCAAGUCGGGCGAGUGGCGGACGGGUGAGUAACGUAUGGGAACGUGCCUGAUAGCGGGGGAUAACUGUUGGAAAGGGCAGCUAAUACCGCAUACUAUCAGAUGAGCCCAUGUGGGAUUAGCUUGUAGGUGGGGUAAAGGCUCACCAAGGCGACGAUCACUAGCGGGUCUGAGAGGAUGAUCAGCCACACUGGGACUGAGACACGGCCCAGACUCCUACGGGAGGCAGCAGUGGGGAAUUUUGCACAAUGGGCGCAAGCCUGAUGCAGCCAUGCCGCGUGUAUGAAGAAGGCCUUCGGGUUGUAAAGUACUUUCAGUCGGGAGGCGUUACCGACAGAAGAAGCACCGGCUAACUCCGUGCCAGCAGCCACGGUAAUAC
rnacentral:rRNA from 1 species